rnacentral:rRNA from 1 species
AACGAACGCUGGCGGCGUGCCUCAUACAUGCAAGUCGUACGCGAAUCCUGCCGCAAGGCAGGGUUUGAGUGGCAAACGGGUGCGUAACACGUAGGUAAUCUUCCUUUGAGUUGGGGAUAAACCCUCGAAAGGGGGUCUAAUACCGAAUAACACUUCUGGUUGGCAUCAACCGGAAAUUAAAGAUGGCCUCUGCUUGCAAGCUAUCGCUCGGAGAUGAGCCUGCGGCCGAUUAGUUAGUUGGCGGAUAAAAGCCCACCAAGACUUCGAUCGGUAGCCGGUCUGAGAGGAUGUCCGGCCACACUGGGACUGAGAUACGGCCCAGACUCCUACGGGAGGCAGCAGUAGGGAUAUUGCGCAAUGGCCGCAAGGCUGACGCAGCAACGCCGC